rnacentral:tRNA from 2 species
GCCGUAGUGACGGAAUUGGUAGACGUGCUAGUUUCAGGGACUAGUUUCCGCAAGGGAGUGGGAGUUCGAGUCUCCCCUACGGCACCA